AUCAUAAUUAUUCUUGAGUCUCUUCCUGAAGAGUUUGAACAAUUUAAGGUCAACUAUAACUCUCUAAAGGAAAAAUGGCCACUCUCUGAGAUGACCGCAAGGAUCGUCCAGGAGGAAGAAAGGAUCAUGAGGCAGAAGAAAGACCAUGUCUUUCAUGUUGGCUCUAACAAGAGAAAGCAUGACGGACAAGGUUUCCCUAAGCCUCAGAAAAGGCAAGUCAAGAAAGAAGGCACUAAGCCAUUCAACCCUAAGGCAUUCAAGGGUAAAGAAGCCGGUGGUUCUUCUUCUGCUCCUAGCAGCUCCACUGCUGGAGAAAAUGCUUGUAACUUCUGCAAAGAAGAGGGACACUAUCAAAGGGACUGCCCAGGCUUUCUAAAAUGGAUGAACAAAAGAGGUAUUGAUGAAAUUACUUUUGUAGAU
rnacentral:rRNA from 1 species